ACUCGGGCACUCAAAUCGUACAAUGUCGGAGGACUCGUUAAUUCCGACCGCAGAAUGCUAAUGACUGGCAAUUAAUAGUGGCUCAACAUUUGCAUAAUUCGUGGGGACCUGCCUUGAGAGAGAGAGAAAGAGAGAAGAACGGGAUAAAACAGAUCGACAUGUUAUUGUUUCGAGAAGACAAUACGAAAUGCUAAUCUCGGAAUAUUCAGUGUGCGUGUGUUCGCCGUGGCUGAUGCACAUUUCAUAACGAUAUAUAUACUACUUACUAGACAACCUAUUAUAUAGAAAGCACGUGCUGGUGUAUAUUACAGUCUGCUACUGACCAUUCCAAUCGCUUCAUAACCUUCCUAAAGGACACCCAUAUAACAUCAGCGAUGAACCUUUCGACAGUAUAUACCCUCUGUCUCUACUUCCUUGGGAUUUUACUAAAACACACAACAGGUAAGAGAAAAAUAUAUAUAAACGUACGUGAAAAUGGAAUUCAUUUUUAUGUUUAUGGGUAUCGAAUACCAUAUACUUCCAGCCAUUAUGUGUACUUCUUUCAUUAUCGUAUUGUGUCAAAUGAAAGAGAGAAAAUGUCAAACGUUUUCUCGAGAUCUGGGUUCCCCUAAUUUAACCUUAUAAUAAACGACCAUGCUGGCUUGGUCAUGUAGAUGGUAUUUCGUGAGAGAUACCUGUCCACAAUAAAGGUAUAUAGACAGGCAAAGAGACCGUUUUUCUUGAUGUGUCAUUCUUGUCCAUAAUUCAUCAUUCGCCACGCAUUGUUUAAAAGCGCCCAUUGUUGUUUUGUACAACUAACGAUCGAAAAAAAUAAUUUAAAACAAUAAGAUUAAAGAGACCGAUUUCAUACUGUGGAGACUGGAGUCUGUUUUGUUUGUACCUUUAAUGAACCGUAGAAAAUUCAAUAAUCAACAC
rnacentral:misc_RNA from 1 species